UACGGAGGAUGCGAGCGUUAGCCGGAUUUAUUGGGUUUAAAGGGUGCGUAGGCGGGCUUUUAAGUCAGCGGUAAAAAUUCGGGGCUCAACCCCGUCCGGCCGUUGAAACUGGGGGCCUUGAGUGGGCGAGAAGAAGGCGGAAUGCGUGGUGUAGCGGUGAAAUGCAUAGAUAUCACGCAGAACCCCGAUUGCGAAGGCAGCCUUCCGGCGCCCUACUGACGCUGAGGCACGAAAGUGCGGGGAUCGAACAGG
rnacentral:rRNA from 1 species